rnacentral:rRNA from 1 species
UACGAAUGGGGCAAGCGUUGUUCGGAAUCACUGGGCUUAAAGCGUGCGUAGGCGGUCAUGAAAGUCAGAAGUGAAAGCCCUGGGCUUAACCCGGGAAUUGCUUUUGAAACUCCACGACUAGAAACCGGGAGAGGUUAGCAGAAUUCCGAGUGUAGAGGUGAAAUUCGCAGAUAUUCGGAGGAAUACCAGUGGCGAAGGCGGCUAACUGGACCGGUAUUGACGCUGAGGCACGAAAGCGUGGGUAGCAAACAGG